UACUCACCCCACCCACCUUGCAAAGUGAUGCAGGACAGGAAAUGGGUUAAUAGAAGCUCGGAUUUAGAAGAGUGCCUGGCACGCCUAAGGGUGAGGCGCCUUCCCCAAAGGGGUCCAAUAAUGAAACUUUUUGUCCAUUGCAGGCUCAAGCCGUCUGUGUAAUUAUCUUAAACUUUUUCAUUUCGGAAAUGAAACAGCUCCUCCCUUCACCGCCACCUUGGCUAUUUCUGGGACCAAAGGAAUCCUUGAAGCUGACCGGGCAGGAGAGUCCACGCUGGGAGUAAAAUCACUACAAACUGUCCAUCAGAAGGCCCCUGCUGAGUAGUUGGCAGGGUGGCUGCACAUAAUGGAAAGCACAUAAGCUUGAAGCCAGACAGAUGGGAGUUCUAACCCCAGCCCUGCCACUUAUUCCCAGGUGACACUGAGUAAGUGACUUAACUUUCCUCAGCCUGAGUUUCCUAAUCUCAAUCACGUUACCCACCUGGCACCUUGUUGGAAGGUUUAUAUAAACCAAAAUGUGUACAUGCUAAGCACAGUAUGUGGCCAUAGGCAGUUCUCAGUAAGGGGGAUGAUAAAUCUAUCAUGGGCUGGGUUUUGACACUGUUCACCCGCGCCUAGCAACUAGAGAUUCCAAGAGAUGAAAGAUCAGGGAGGAAGGACCACACCUCUCUGCCAGAGGCCUGGAGGGGAAGCUCCUGGUGACAGAGGCUGGAUUCCAAAGUGUCUCUUCUUUGACGUUGGUACCAGUCCCACUCGUGUUUUGCAUGAGAUUUGCCCCCAGACCCUGUGGACUGAGCUAAGCCCCGCAGGGGUGGCGCUUCUCCCUCCCUGCUCAGUGCCCAAACCUUCUGCUUCAAAGCCUCUAUGGAGAUAGCUUUCUCAUUUGGCCCAGGCGGCCAAUUCCAGUGGAGUAUAUGAUAUCGUCCACAGGCUGUUGGCUCAAUGUGGAGAAACACAAAACCAUCUUGAAAUGCGACUUUACAGUUUUGAUUUUGCUUGUUUAUAAAUGUAUACUGUAAGCAAGCUGCCAUCGCCUACAAUCCGGUCUCUUCUCUGGCAUCUAAUUACCUUUAGAGCAUGAAUAUCAACAUCAAGAAGAUGUUUUUUCCCCAGCCAAAGAGCAAUUGGAAACAUUUGAUACCCUUUUCACCAUUAAGGAUGGAUAGGAAGGGGAGGUUAUAAAAUAUGGCCCUAUUGGCCUGGCGCGGUGGCUCACACCGAUAAUCCCAGCACUUUGGGAGGCUGAGUGGGGUGGAUCACCUGAGGUCGGGAGUUUGAGACCAGCCUGACCAACAUGGAGAGACACUGUCUCUACUAAAAAUACAAAAUUAGAUAGGUGUGGUGGUACAUGCCUGUAAUCCCAGCUACUCAGGAGGCUGGGGAAGGAGAAUUGCUUGAACCCAGGAGGCAGAGGUUGCGGUGAGCUGAGAUCACACCAUUGCACUCCAGCCUGGGCAACAAGAGCAAAACUCCGUCUUAAAAAAAAAAAAAAGUACCUAUUGCACUUUUCGAUAGUCUUUAUGCCUAGCUAGGAAAUAAAGCUCCACCGUGUUAUGUCCUGUCAAGUUACCAUCCGUUCACUCAACAAAUAUUUAUUGAGCGCCCUCUCUAGGGCAGGCAGCACUCUAGAUACUUGGUCAGUGGACACAACAGGUGAUGAUCCUGUCAUUGACACCUUGGUACAGGUGGUGCUUUCCGCCAGGUUCACCUUUCUCCUUGCUCUACCUGGUGAAUUUCUAUUGUCCUUCAAGACUCAGUUCAAACCCAUCUCCCCUGGAAGGGUUUCCCUGUGUGCUUUCUCUGUGUUGUCAUAACACUUUGUACAUAUCCCUUUUAUUGCACUUUAUUACCUUGUUCUCUACAUUAAUAGACUAUUCUGGGGGGCAGUUGCAGGUUUACAGAAAAAUUGAGUAGAAAGUAUAGUUACCAUAUAACUUCCUCAACACCUCUUCUCGGACUUUCCCCUAUAUUAACAUCUUGCAUUAGUGUGGUACAUUUGUUACAAUUGAUGACUAAAUAUGGAUACAUUAUUAUCAACCAAAAUCUAUAGAUUACGUUAGGGUUCACUGUUUGUAUUGUACAUUCUAUAGGUUUGAUGAAGAUAUAAUGACAGGUAUCAACCAUUACAGUAUCAUACAGAAUAGUUUCAUUGCCCUAAAAAUAUUGUGUUCGACCUAUUUAUCCCUCUCUCCCUCCCCUGAGCCCCUGGCAACCACUGAUCUUUUUACUGUCUCCAUAGUUGUGCCUUUUCCAGAAUGUCCUAUAGUUGAAAUCUUGCAGUAUGUAGCCUUUCCGAUUGGCUUCUUUUACUAGCAAUAUGCAUUUAAGGUUCCCCCACAUCUUUUCUUUUUUUUUUUUUUUUUUUUUUUUUUUAAAUUGGGAUUUUCUUAGGAAAGUUUAAUAAAGGGAUUAUUUGCAAAGAUGUGGCAGGUUGUAGAGAUGAUGCUCUGCCCUGGAGCUAGUAAUGGCAGGGCUGUUACCUGUCCUUAAGCCUGAAGGGAAGAGGGUAGGGAGUAGUUUUCCAGAACACAGAAGGAGAGUCUCCUAGAAAGCUUCUGGGGAGGAAUAGUGACAGCCUAAGGCAAUGCUGCAGGGCAAGCAUUCAGAAUAAAUCCCCAGCCUCACUCUCAGCCCUCCCUCUCAUCUUCUGUCUGGGCACCCUAUUGGCUAAACCAAAAAAAAAAGCAAAGGACAAGGGAGCCUCUAGUGGUCCAUGCAGGUCAGCCUCCUUGGGAGGGAGACCAAGGAGUAGCAGGUGGACAGUGGAUCUGAAGGAAAAAAUGACAAUAUCUAGUAUAAAUACAUAUCUCAUUUAAUUUGCACAAGAACACUCAUUAUUCACAUUCUGCAGAUGAGGAAAUUGAGGUCUAGAGACUAAGUAACUAGUUCAAGGUCAGAUAGUUAAGUUAAGGAGUCAAAUUAGCAUCUACCCCCACAUCUUUUCUAUAGCUCAUUUGCUUUUAGUGCUGAAUAAUAUUCCACUGCAUGUAUGUACCACAGUUUGUUUAUCCAUUCACCUAUUGAAAGACAUCCUGGUUGCUUUCAUGUUUUGGCAGUUAUGAACAAAGCUACUGGAAAUGUCUGAGUGGAAGUUUUUGUGUGGAUGUAAGUUUUCGGCUCCUUUGGAUAAAUACCAAGGAGCAUGCUUGCUGGAUCUUAUGGUAAGAGUAUACUUAGUUUUGCCAGAAACUUCCAAACUGUCUUCUGAAGUGGCUGUACCAUUUUGCAUUCCCACCAGCAACAAAUAAGAGCUCCACUUACUACUUUUCAUUUUAUCUGUUAACUGCUCUGCUCCCACCACCAUCUACCCUUCAGAUUGUGAGCUACCUGAGCAGGAUAGCCAGGUGUUAUCAUUGCAUCUUCAGUGUUUGACACUGAAAUGUUUAUGGUAUUAAUAAUUUGUCGAGUUUAAAUUUUAAAUUGCAGAAUGAUCUCUCAAGUAAUAGCACAUACCUCUGGAUGCUACUUUGGUAGGGGGGAGGGCAUUUAGAGGCAUAUGUUAUGGCCAAUGGAAGACCUAGCUUCUGUUCUGUGGAUAUGUUAUUAUCUACAGCAUGUUAACAUCGAGUUUAAAUAAUGUUCAGAACUAGAGUCCAACCAUAGUCCUCGAAUAACUUAUCCUUUAUAUUUUCAUUUUGUAACUUUUGUUAUUUUGUUAAUAAACUGUUAAAGAAUUGACCAUCAUGACCAUAACUACACUUAUCAGCUGUCACCUAGAUCUCAUAAAAGACUUACACAUCUCAGCCAUAGCAAUCUUUUUGCAAUCCACUGGGGAAGACAGACAACGGAAUAGGUAAGGGCAAUGGAGAAUCCAAAGCUGUAACAGAAGGAUGCAUUAAGGACCAUGGGUGCCCAAAGAGGACUCCUAACCUAGUUUUGGCUUGAGAAGGUGCAAUGGAUUUGAUUCCUGUUCAGCAAAUACUUGCUUUCUCCUUCCCUCUCCUGGGAAGAAUAAUCUUCCUCGUCAGACCCAGCUGUGGGACUUGCUAUGGCCAAUGGAACAUGAGUGGUCACGACGCAAACAGAAGCUUUCAAUGUGCUCAUGUGGUUUUGUCCUUUUUUGCUCUCCUAAUCCACCAUGAGGAGAGCAUCCCCUAGGUACAUGGUGUGCCCUAAGUUAGGGUUCUGGAAUGAGAGACACAAAAGCAGACCUGAACCCACAUCCUGGGCCAGAGUCCCCUCAGCUGACCUGCAGACCUGCGAGUAGGAAAAAAUGUUCAUUAAUGUUUGGGGGUUAUUUGUUACACAGCAUAAUCAGCAAUAGCGACUAGUACAGAAAUCCUCCUGGGGAAGGAGUAACAAUAAGAAAUGUUAUCCAGAUGGACAGGGAAAGGUUAAGAGAAAAGCUGGCUUAGUGCAGGGAGCUGUGAGUACAAUGAAUAAUAUUUAUAACUGGCAUGAGACCACUUGAUAAUUUGCUACAAAUGAGAAGUAGAUGGAUGGAAGGCAGGCUAGAGCUGGUAACAAUCACUGCGGUAAUCACCGUUACGAUCUAAACUGCUUACUCCUUCCUGGCAAUGGCUCAUUACUGGUGUGCCAAUCAUGAUUAUCCUGUUCCUAACUUUCCCAGCCUCUCUGCAGCUAGGGAGUAGCUAGUGACCCAGUUCUGGCCCUUGAGACCUAAACAAAAAUUUUCUCAUGGAUUUCUGGGAAAGGCUUUUCUUUCCUGAUGAAAGAUGUCAGAUGUGGUUAAGGCAGUCUUCCCCCUCUCUCCAGGCUUAAACAAGGAUGCAAUUGCCUGAGUUCUAACAGCCCUCUUGCAUCUAGGAAGAAAUGUCCAGAAUUUCAGAGACAUUGGCCCCAUCAUUUUUGAGCUCCUGAACUGAAACCUGCAACUACCUACUUCUAGACAUCUUACUGUAUGCGAAAAAUAACUCCUUCUCUGUUUAAGCAUAAGGAGGAUUUUGUAUUAGGUAUCAUGUUCUGCAUUAGCUUGCUUUCCUAACUAAAAUAAUAGCUAACAUUUACAAACACCACAAGCCUGGCACUGUGUUAAGCAUGUUAUAGCCAUUAUGCCAUUUAACCUAAGUAAUAAUCCUAUGGAAAAGUGGUAUUAUUGCCACAUUAGAACUUUUCCCAGAGAUCAGAUCUGCUAAAGGCUCUGCUACUCCAAUUCUACCUAACUCCUGGGGUGCAAACCCUAGUCCGGCUGUACCUACUCCAAAACAAUAAGUAAAAGCUUUACUCCACCUGGAUAUAGGCUGAGCCAGAAAUCACUUUGAGAAACAGAGAUUUGAGCCAAGGUCCUCAAUCCCUUCCAAUGGCAAGGGAGAAAGUUGUGAGUUGGGGCUGAAGAUCUUGAGCUUCUGGGGUCCCCACAUUUCUGAGCUCCAUGCUGUCAAGUGGGUUACUGGGAUGAGCAGAAAGAAUGUUGAGGAUUCUCCAAAUUAUUAUUAUUAUUAUUAUUAUUAUUAUUUUUGUGAGACAGAGUCUCGCUCUGUCUCCCAGGCUGGAGUACAGUGGCACGAUCUCGGCUCACUGCAAGCUUCGCCUCCGGGGUUCAUGCCAUUCUCCUGCCUCAGCCUCCCGAGUAGCUGGGACUACAGGCACCCACCACCACGCCCGGCUAAUUUUUUGUAUUUUUAGUACACCGUGUCAGCCAGGAUGGUCUCAAUCUCCUGACCUCAUGAUCCACCCGCCUCAACCUCCCAAAGUGUUGGGAUUACAGGCGUGAGCCACCACGCCCGGCCCGAGGAUUCUCCAAAUAUUUCUGGAUCCCAGGGUUAGCCAGCCUCCCUCUCUAGAAGCUCUGAUAGGGGAGAGGGUUGGGUGUGUAUGGAAAGGCCUCUGUCAGAGUCAGCUUAAUGAUACUAUUUAAACAAGCCUUGUCUCCACUUGCUUCUGCUAUGACUGCUAGAUUUCACCAAUCAGUUUAAGAACCAAACACCUUGGGAUAGUUAAGAAGAAGGUGAAGCAGUCAUUAAAAAAAAAAGAAGAACAAAACCAUGUCCUUUGUAACUACAUGGAUGGAGCUGGAGGUCAUUAUCCUAAACAAACUAACACAGAAACAGAAAACUGAAUACCAUAUGUUCUCACUUGUAAGUGGGAGCUAAACAAUGGGCACAUAAAGAUGGACAUAAAGAUGGAAACUAUAGACAGUGGGGACUCCCAAAGGGGGGAUCAUUAGAGUGGGGGAUAGAGUUGAAGAAUACCUAUUGGGUACAAUGUUCACUAUUUGGGUAAUGGACACACUAGAUGCCCAAUCCCACCAGUACAUAAUUAUACCUGUGUAGCAGAUAUGCACAUGCACACCUUGAAUCCAGAAUAAAAUACAUUUUUUUUAAAAAAAGAAAAAAAAAUUCAAUCAGUAUGUAUGCAUCAUGAAAUUUUUAUUCCAUUCUGAUCAGUCACUAACAGAAUGAACUUUUCUAAAUGAGAAAGUUUGUCUUCUGAAUUUUAAGCAGAGCACACUUGAAUUUUGAUGCUGAUAAUAAAAUGUAGUAUAGCAAUAUGCAAUUCAUCACUGUUUUGAUUUUCUGACAGGUGGAAAUUAGGCCAAAAUAAAUACUACUUUCUGCUUAAAAAAAUGCAGGUGAGCACUAUCAAUAAUUCACUCCUUAGUAUGGAUUCGUUUGCUUCUAUUAUCCCUGUAAUGCUUGGGCAAAAAGUGCUCAAGAAUGAAAGUUUUGUUAGGGAAUGUUGAAUAAAUGUUGCAGAAUAAAUAAAUGUGUGUAUGAAUGAGCUGUAUUCAUGGAAGAUUGUUCAGAAACCUAUAGGUGGCCUCCUCAGAGCUGUACCCAGGGGUGUGCGUACGAAUACACGCACACACACACACACACACAUUUUAAGAGGAGAUGUGGAGCUUUCUAGGUCUUCUUGGUUAACAGGAGCAAGACUCAAAAUGUUUGAGAAGUUAAAACAAGGGGACUAGUGUAACAAGAUUACGUUUAACAAGGGCAGGUGUUGUACUCUGAACAUUUGUUGAAAACUGCCGCACACAUGGAGGCGAUGAGGGAGGUGAGGCUUAACAGACUCACGUGUGAAAAAGACAGGGGUCCCCUAAGUGGACAGGCAGCUCCUGCACUGUCAGGGGUAGGACCUGGCUGCCAAGAACAUUAAUGAGCUCCCAAGCUGCUUUAAUACAAGCACGGUUUUCAGAGGGAGAGACCCGAUAGGACGUGAGUCAGACCACACCUGAAGUCUGGGACUCACUUCUGGAGAGAAACACCAGCAAAGUGGUGACCAAGCCAAAAGCCACUUGACAGAAGAAGGGACAAGGUGGAAAAGCAGGGCAGAAGAGGUGGCCGCAAAGGAGCGAGAAUGCUGCGAACAGCUGGAGGGCAGGUGAUGUCCAAAGAGAAGGGAGGAGGAAGGAUGAAAGGAAAGACAGAGGAGGAAGGAAGAGAAGAAAGAAGAGUGGCCGGCACAAGGGCUUGGAGAUCCCUGAAGCUGUUUUCCUUUCUCCUCACCCCCACAGGGAGGGAUCCACAUCGUUGUGGGGUUUUUGUUGUUGUUGUUUUUGUUUUUGUUUUUUUGCCUCCCUUCAUCAAAGCAUUCAUUGUAGUGUAUGGUAAUUGUCUCUGAAUGUAACAGCCUCUCUUCCCUGAGGCCUGGGUCUGCUUGUUUCAUACCAUCUUCUCCUUAACACACAGUGCUUGGUAAACAAUACCUAUUAAUAAACAUUUGUUGAAUGAAUGAAUGAGUGAAUGAACGAAUACUGCACUCUUUCG
rnacentral:lncRNA from 1 species